rnacentral:rRNA from 1 species
CCUACGGGCGGCUGCAGUGAGGAAUAUUGGUCAAUGGACGAGAGUCUGAACCAGCCAAGUAGCGUGAAGGAUGACUGCCCUAUGGGUUGUAAACUUCUUUUAUAUGGGAAUAAAAUGUUCCACGUGUGGGCUUUUGUAUGUACCAUAUGAAUAAGGAUCGGCUAACUCCGUGCCAGCAGCCGCGGUAAUACGGAGGAUCCGAUCGUUAUGUGGAUUUGUUGGGUUUAAAGGGCACGUAGGUGGUUUGUUAAGUCAGUUGUGAAAUUUUGCGGCUCAACCGUAAAAUUGCAGUUGAAACUGGCAGUCUUGAGUAUAGUAGAGGUGGGCGGAAUUCGUGGUGUAGCGGUGAAAUGCUUAGAUAUCACGAAGAACUCCGAUUGCGAAGGCAGUUCACUGGACUGAAACUGACACUGAGGCUCGAAAGUGUGGGUAUCAAACAGGAUUAGAUACCCCAGUAGUC